rnacentral:rRNA from 1 species
GACGAACGCUGGCGGCGUGCCUAACACAUGCAAGUCGAACGGAGCACUUCGGUGCUUAGUGGCGAACGGGUGAGUAACGCGUGAAGAACCUGCCUUUCAGUGGGGGACAACAGUUGGAAACGACUGCUAAUACCGCAUAAUGUUAUUUGGGGGCAUCCCUGAAUAACCAAAGAUUUAUUGCUGAAAGAUGGUCUCGCGUCUGAUUAGCUAGUUGGUGAGGUAACGGCUCACCAAGGCGACGAUCAGUAGCCGGUCUGAGAGGAUGAACGGCCACAUUGGGACUGAGAUACGGCCCAGACUCCUACGGGAGGCAGCAGUGGGGAAUAUUGCACAAUGGGCGAAAGCCUGACGCAGCAACGCCGCGUGAUUGAUGAAGCCCUUCGGGGUGUAAAGAUCUGUCAGUGGGGACGAAACUUGACGGUACCCACAGAGGAAGCAAUCGGCUAACUCCGUG